rnacentral:rRNA from 1 species
UACGAAGGGGGCUAGCGUUGCUCGGAAUUACUGGGCGUAAAGCGCACGUAGGCGGCUCUUUAAGUCGGAGGUGAAAUCCUGGAGCUCAACUCCAGAACUGCCUUCGAUACUGAAGAGCUCGAGUCCGGGAGAGGUGAGUGGAACUGCGAGUGUAGAGGUGAAAUUCGUAGAUAUUCGCAAGAACACCAGUGGCGAAGGCGGCUCACUGGACACGUAUUGACGCUGAGGUGCGAAAGCGUGGGGAGCAAACAGG